UACGUAGGGUGCAAGCGUUAAUCGGAAUUACUGGGCGUAAAGCGUGCGCAGGCGGUUCGUUGUGUCUGAUGUGAAAGCCCCGGGCUCAACUUGGGAACGGCAUUGGAAACUGGCGAGCUAGAGUGUGGCAGAGGGGGGUGGAAUUCCGCGUGUAGCAGUGAAAUGCGUAGAGAUGCGGAGGAACACCGAUGGCGAAGGCAGCCCCCUGGGCUGACACUGACGCUCAGGCACGAAAGCGUGGGGAGCAAACAGG
rnacentral:rRNA from 1 species